UACGGAGGAUGCGAGCGUUAUCCGGAUUUAUUGGGUUUAAAGGGUGCGUAGGCGGCUUGUUAAGUCAGCGGUGAAAUCUAGAGGCUCAACCUCGAAACUGCCGUUGAAACUGGCGAACUUGAGUGUAGAUGAGGUAGGCGGAAUUCGUGGUGUAGCGGUGAAAUGCAUAGAUAUCACGAGGAACUCCGAUUGCGAAGGCAGCUUACUAAGGUACAACUGACGCUGAAGCACGAAAGCGUGGGUAUCAAACAGG
rnacentral:rRNA from 1 species